UACGGGGGGGGGCAAGCGUUGUUCGGAAUUACUGGGCGUAAAGGGCUCGUAGGUGGCCAACUAAGUCAUACGUGAAAUCCCUCAGCUUAACUGGGGAACUGCGCCUGAUACUGGUUGGCUUGAGUUUGGGAGAGGGACGCGGAAUUCCAGGUGUAGCGGUGAAAUGCGUAGAUAUCUGGAGGAACACCGGUGGCGAAGGCGGCGUCCUGGACCAAUACUGACACUGAGGAGCGAAAGCCAGGGGAGCAAACGGG
rnacentral:rRNA from 1 species